AGUGAACGCUGGCGGUAGGCCUAACACAUGCAAGUCGAAUGGCAGCACAGUAAGAGCUUGCUCUUACGGGUGGCGAGUGGCGGACGGGUGAGGAAUACAUCGGAAUCUACUUUUUCGUGGGGGAUAACGUAGGGAAACUUACGCUAAUACCGCAUACGACCUACGGGUGAAAGCAGGGGAUCUUCGGACCUUGCGCGAUUGAAUGAGCCGAUGUCGGAUUAGCCAGUUGGCGGGGUAAAGGCCCACCAAGGCGACGAUCCGUAGCUGGUCUGAGAGGAUGAUCAGCCACACUGGAACUGAGACACGGUCCAGACUCCUACGGGAGGCAGCAGUGGGGAAUAUUGGACAAUGGGCGCAAGCCUGAUCCAGCCAUACCGCGUGGGUGAAGAAGGCCUUCGGGUUGUAAAGCCCUUUUGUUGGGAAAGAAAAGCAGCAGGUUAAUACCCCGCUGUUCUGACGGUACCCAAAGAAUAAGCACCGGCUAACUUCGUG
rnacentral:rRNA from 1 species